AGCGGCCGUUUGUGCUCACAGAUGGUGACGGUGUGGAGAGACGGUGGUGUUUCCUCAGAAGAACUAGCAGAGUCACAAAGGGCACGAGUCCUUCUCACCACCUUGACUUACUGACUGAUGCUCAUCUGCACUGCACAGAGGAAAUCAACUAACCGAGGAGGGUUUCUGAGUGAGGGAGAGAGGAGUCAUCAUCCAGGUAAAGUGACGUGGAUCAGUGGAUACACUUGUCUCCCCUUUAAAGAAGAUACUCUUAGAGAGAGACGAUCCGAGUCAUCCUUAAAUAUGGGAAGGAUAUCAGUCUUGGACUGUCUAACCUGCCGGAGCAGCACUGAAUAACCACCACACAUGAGCAUGUUCCUGCAACAUUCAGCAUCUGAUCUGCCAUCUGUGUGCUUCUGCUUUUGUGUCAAAUGUCAAACAGCUGGAGAGGAAACUACACCAGUGUACUGGGAUGUUUCAGCAACACGUGCCAGAUGCUGUUCCUUCGUGGUGACAUCACCAGAGACAGCCCCGCCCACCUCAGGACCUCGCCAUUGAUCAUGAUGAUUAUAAUGACGACAGCGAGCGGAACUAAGACUGUAAAAAUCCACGACCAGAAUGUUUAGAUGCUUUCUAAUUAUUAAUGAAUACUGAGAGCCUCUUUCUGUGUUUUGUCUGUUUUGGUUUUUUUACCUCAUUUGUUACUAACAAAGUUCACCAAACUCACACAGUUUACAUUCUGUAUGUUUCCAUCUUUACCAGCCACACUCUUAACUGCAAUUAAGAAAACAAACCGUAGAAAUCGUUGCUUUUCUCUUUUGUAAUUGAUGAUAAUUCAGUGAAUAUACUGCGCUGCUUCCUUUUGUUUCGUCUCACAUUGCUUUAAGUUUUUCAGUGUUCAGUUAUUUUUUACUGCUGUUUGAAUUCUCUGUAUGUUUGACCCUGUAGACUGUUUAAUGGACUGCUUGUCUUCCUGUUUGUAACCGCCGCCUGUUUUUGACUAAAGAUUUGGAUUUCUGACUUUAACACAGCCUCUGCGUGUCCUCCCUUUGUGUCCUCUUCCUCUGUGAAUGUGUUGCAUGUGUCACAGAUUCAUUUAUUAACAGCUUUCCCACAGUCAGUUGCAUCAGCAUUCAUUCACAGCACAUUUCAGAAGGAUUCAGAUUGAUACAGUGAUCUUAUAGUCAGAAUUAUCCUG